GUCUGCUCCACGCGCGCGUGGACGUCGUUGGUGUGGAGGAGCGUGAGCUGGAAGGCGGCCCGGGCGGCGUGCGCCAGGCAGAGCAGCGCGACAUGACCCACUGGCUUCCUGAUUCUGCCUAUUGUACUCCAGCUCACUGGCAAGAAAGUGACAGGAGACCCUAACAAAGAACCAAGAGAAAAGGGGCCAAGAUGAGACAACCCUUGAGACAAGAUUAGAACAUCACCAAGCCCUUCCUACAGGUAGAUCUAAUUGAGUAUCACUGUCUAAGAGGGUUCAUUACUAGCACCUGCCUGACCAAGUUGGAGCCAGCCAACAUGGAAUUAAGCAAACUGAGUCUAGUUCUGUUACCACUUUUUGAUGUACAAUUUUUUCUGGCUGAUAGCCCCAAGGCGUCACUGGAGCACAGCACUUUGGUGAUGUGCCCUCUGCUCAUGCACAUGGGGUUGCAUAAAGCUGACUAUGCGAAGCAGGGGUUCCACUGCUCUGGAGAAGGCCUCAGCUGCCUCAUUAGGGCAUCUUUACGACCCCUCCGCUCCACCGGAUGUUUAUCAGGCAUUCUGUGGGUGAGGAGGGAGGGGAUUCUGAAGGCCACAAUGGCAGCAGCUGCAGCUAAAACAUGCAAAGGGUCUACAACCCCUUGCAACUCCACAUCCCUCCACUUUAAGUACUACCUUCAAGUUGUUUCAUGCAGGUGGACUCCUGUGCUUACAAAGGGCCCCAUUGUCUUCAGUGCAGAUGUCUACUUGUGAGCACCAGUGAAAGGCUUGCAAGAUCAAGGCUGUGAGCUUCUAGGAAAAAGGUAUCUCAUAUGCAUAUUAGGCUUUGAGGAUAGGCCAGACCCUGACUCAGCCAAUUAUUUGCAGCUGGAUUAGAACGUGUCUAUAUACUCAGAAGAGUUGUAUGUGGCUUUCUGGCAAAACUAACCAACAUGGAACUCAUUGCAGCCCUCUCAAACAUAGAAAGAGGCAGGAUUUGCCCUUCAGUUAAAAGCAUUCUGCUAUGCACAGGUUCUGGUGCUUGUAUUUGGAGCUACAUUUAAUAAUGGUUUUCAUGGUCUUUAAAAACAAAAACAAAGACAAGCAAAAAACCACGCCCCUAGAACUAAAGCAGACGUGCUAUAUAUUCAAAAGAAAUAUACUAGAAAUAAUGUAACCCCUUUUUCUGAGAAUUAUUUUCUUGUUUAUUAAAGGUUUACAUUGGAAAGAAAAUUAUAAAUGACAGUGUUAAUUGUACUGAACACAUUGUUAACAGGGUGGCAGGGCUCUUCUGUUGACCCAUCUUGUUAGCAAGUAAGCGUUAGACCCUGUAUAAAGUUGCUAACUUGUCUUCAAAGAGAAUCACACAAGUGCUUACUGUGCACUACUUGCAUUUGGGAAGAAAUUUUAGACAGUCUUAACACCUUUGCUUUGUGUUUAGGUUGGUGGCACAGCGGGGCUAAGGCAGGCUCCCAGCCUACUCUGGUCCCAUGCUGCUCCCAGAAGCAGGAGCAUGUUUACACUUAGAGCUGGAGGUCUGACUCCCAGGUAGAGGAAACAUACCUGAGCUAGCUCUGAUGAAGUUACCAUGUUAAAAAUAGAGUGUAAUCUCAGCAGCAUGAGUGAUGGGAAGGGCUAGUUGCCCUGAGUAUGUACGAGUCCUCGGGGUGGCUGUCCCUUCCCACCACUUGUGCCCCCAUGGCUACACUGUAUUUUACCAUGCUAGCUUGAUCAAAACUAGUGCUGGUAUAGCUCCUUGAACCAGACUCCCAACUCCAAGUGUAGACAUACCCUACUCCAUAGAAACAACACUCCACUUGCUAGAUUUUACAACCCCUUCACCCUUGUGCACAGGAUGCCAUCUAACACUAUACUUCUAUGGGCCUAUCAUUUAAACCAACAGACUACUUUCAUCUCCCAUCUCACCAGUGAGAAUCCCUAUGGCAAGGAGAUGCUUGUACUCUGCCAUUAAGACAACCUACAGAACUCAGCACUGAAAUUAUGCAUACUGGAUCCCUCAAGUUACACAUGCACCUUUUUCCUUUGAUCCUUUAAGGGGGCAGGAAAUGGUUUUAGAUCUCCCCUACAGAAGGGCAGCUUCCCUCCCCCCCCCCGAUCUCCUCACAACACAAUCACAGCUUUGCUGAGAUGCUGUAAUACAAUACAGCUACACCUAACUUAGUGAACGAUGCUGAAGAGCAUCCAAAUAAUUCCUAGUGACUAUUUCCAGCUCUGAGGGGAUAGAAUUAAGAUUGUGUUGGCACAAACCUGAACUCUGCAUUUCCUGAUUUUCAAAGGCUUCAAUUUUGCUGAACUCAACAAAAGGUCUGAGAAACCACCAUGCAAUCUUAACUCCAUGCUAACGAAGCUUUUUGUCAGUGAAUUCCAUGUAUAGGGCACCAUCCUUUUCAGUUGGAUCUAUUUGAAUCUGCUAAGUGACUUUUAGAUCCUGAUUGCAUUCAGCUGUGCCACUAUUCUUUUCCUCAUUAACUUAGACUAGCGGUUCUCAAACUAUGGGUCAGGACCCCAAAGUGGGACAUAAGCCCAUUUUAAUGGGGUCUCCAGGGCUGGUUUAGACUUGCUGGGUUCUGGGGCUGAAGUGCAAGCCCAACUACCUGGGGCCAAAGCCUGAGGGAUUCAACCCUGGGUGGUGGGGCUCCUAAGCUGCCUGAGACUGAAGCCCUUUGGCUUUGGGCCCCCCCCCCCACUGGGGCCACGGGGCUCAGGCUUUGGCUUUGGCCCCUUCACCCAGGCCAGCGGGGUUCAGGCUUCAGUUCCCCCCUCCUGGGGUCAUGUAGUAAUUUUUGUUGUCAGAAGGGAGUCGUGGUGCAAUGAAGUUUGAGAACACCUGACAUUGUUGAGGAUCCGGCCCAUGCUAUUUACUUAUUGAUGCUGUUUAACAUUUAAUAAUCAAGUGUGUUAUGGUAGUGCCUAAGGACCAACCAAGAACAGGGCCCCAUUGUGGUAGGCACAUUGUACCAACACACAGUAGUAGGGCAGAGAAAGUCCAGUCAGAACUGUAAGAAGUUCUCUGAAUGGUCAAAGGUCCCUGCUGUGGCUGGUCUGCUCCAGCUGCUCCUCUCUGCAGUUUUUCCUCAAUGCCAUAUAGGCAGAGAGGAGGCACCACCAGGGUCCCAGUUUCCCCCAUGUGCAUGCGGGCAUCUUUUUAGCACAAUUCUGGAUCCAGAAGGGACGGGUGGUCCUGGUUGCACUCCAUUUUAUCCCAUCCCACUCAACACACCAGUCCCUUCUUUAGCAGCUUCUGUAGCUGCUCUAACUGGAGUCUGGCUGAUUUCUCUGCAAUUUUUCUGCAAGGCCAUAUGGUGGUGGAGGAUAAGGUGAGACACCACCUGAAUCCAGUAUAUAUUUUUGUCAGACCAGAGACCAUACCUGGGCUGAGGCAGAUGUUCAUUGAGUGACCUUGUGUAGUAUAUGAAGGCCCCAAACUGAUUCAAAAGGGGAUCUGUUAUUCCGGUACAGGUUCACUUAGGGUUGCCAGAUGUCUGAUUCAAAAAGGUACCCUGGGUGAUCUGGUCAGUGCCGCUGACCGGGCCAUUAAAAGUCCAGUUGGCAGGGCUGUCAGGCUCCCUACUUGGCUCUGCGCAGCUCCCGGAAGCAGUGACAUGCGGUGAUAUGCACGCUGCUCCCACCUGUGCUCCAGGUCCGGACCUCCCAUUGGCCAGGAACUGCAGCCAAUGGGAGCUGUGGGGGUGGCGCCUGUGGGCAGAGGCAGUGUGCUCUGCGCAAAGCUACCUGGCUGCCCCUUUGCCUAGGAACCGAAGGACAUGUCACCAGUUCUUUUUUGGGUGUGUGUGGAGGUUAGACAGAAAAGUAAAGGGAAGGGGGGAUAAUGAAGGGAAGGAGAGAAGAGGGUAAGAGGUACAGGUGUGGAGUGAAGCUAAGGUGAAGAAACUGUGAGGGAGGGAAAGGGUUGGAGCCAACUGUCCCGCCUGUGCACUGGCUCCGGACCUCCUAUUGGCCAGGAACUGCAGCCAAUGGGAGCUGUGGGGGCGGCGCCUGUGGGUGGAGGCAGUGUGCACGGAGCAAAGCCACCUGGAAGCCCCUCUGUCUAGGAACCGAAGGACAAGUUGCCACUUCCGGGGAUCCCCCUGAGGUUUGGGAGAUCUUCUGGAACAGUGCAGUGGAGAUAUCUGUGGUCCUUGAUCAGCAACGAGUGCAGAAGGGAUUUCUGAUAAUAAAACCAUUUCUUCAGGCUUAACUUCCAAGUCUGCUGUAUUGGUUGGUAUGGGGUCCUCAGGAAUCUCACUAUUUCUGGAUGUAGCAACUGGAUCGUCUAAUUGUAGGGAUAUAUCUACAUAUAUAUCCACGUAAUAUGUUAUAGGCAAUCAAGGCCUAAUGUGGAUUGAGUAUGCUUGACAUAAGUAUGUGCGUUGCGUGUUGGCAACUGAAGUGAGAACUUAAGAUUUCAAGUGGUCAAGAACUAAUUGCACAAAACAACUUUAUGUCCCUAGGCAAUAUAUAAAGAAUCAGCAGAUAAGGAAAUAACACCAGCUGGACUGAUAUAAAAAAUGUAUAAGAAUUGGAGGAAAUGGCAUGCCUUGGAUCAUGGCGGCCUGCCUGGAACUGCCUCCUUGGAGUUGUGGGUGAAAGGCCCAGACAACAGAGACAAAAGACUAAUGAUGCCAUGAAGUGGAUUAUAAAUGGAGGCUUCACACAUUUGCAAUUUGGAGUCUUUCAACAACCCAGAGCCCUGUUUGGAUAUAGAUGUGGUCUUUCUGCUGGCUCCCCACAUCUGAUCUGAUCUGACUGAACCUCACCUGGCCAUCAGGACUUCAUUCUGAUCUGGGGACUCUGGUGUAGUAUGUUCGGGGUACGAAUGUGGAGUGAAUUAGGUUUUAUUUUUUAAGCAAUAAAGAGUACUUAGAGUAUUAUA